rnacentral:tRNA from 1 species
GGGGAUUUAGCUUAGUGGCAGAGCGCUUGCCUAGCAAGUGCAAGGCCCUGGGUUCAGUCCCCA